CACAUGCAGUCGAACGGAAUCUUCGGAUUUAGUGGCGGACGGGUGAGUAACCCGUGAGAAUCUGCCUUCAGGAUGGGGACAACAAUUGGAAACGAUUGCUAAUACCCGAUAUGACGAAAGUUGAAAGAUUUAUCGCCUGGAGAUGAGCUCGCGUCAGAUUAGCUAGAUGGUGUGGUAACGGCGCACCAUGGCGACGAUCUGUAGCUGGUCUGAGAGGAUGAGCAGCCACACUGGGACUGAGACACGGCCCAGACUCCUACGGGAGGCAGCAGUGGGGAAUUUUCCGCAAUGGGCGCAAGCCUGACGGAGCAAUACCGCGUGAGGGAGGAAGGCUCUUGGGUCGUAAACCUCUUUUCUCAGGGAAGAACAAAAUGACGGUACCUGAGGAAUCAGCAUCGGCUAACUCCGUGCCAGCAGCCGCGGUAAUACGGAGGAUGCAAGCGUUAUCCGGAAUGAUUGGGCGUAAAGCGUCCGUAGGUGGUUAUGUAAGUCUGUGGUUAAAGCGUGGGGCUCAACCCCAUAAAGGCCAUGGAAACUACACAACUAGAGUCAAGUAGGGGUAGAGGGAAUUCCCAAGGUACGGAGAAAUGCGUAAAGAUUGGGAAGACACCGCGGGCAAUAGCUCUCUACUGAACUUAAACUGACACUGAGGGACGAAGCUAGGG
rnacentral:rRNA from 1 species